UUCCAAUUCGGGUAUGCGAGACGCAAAAACGUACGGUCAAGUCCACGUGGAUCUCGCGACUGUUCUUCAGGCGAGCUCGUCUGUCAUGGCUAGUCGCAGCCGAUGCAACAUCCGAGUCCACGGAGCGCUGGACAUUAACUAAAUCCGAUAGAUUCGCCGCGGCUCGCACCACCUACACGUCCUUCGUUUGAUAGCGGCCUCGCGCGCAUCGACGGAACACGGCUCGAUCCAUUGCUUCUGCGCGAGAUUUUCGAGCCCGCGAUCACCCGUGCCGCGAUAAGGGACGUGUCAUCCUUGUAAUUUUUUCG
rnacentral:misc_RNA from 1 species